rnacentral:rRNA from 1 species
CCCUACGGGGGGCAGCAGUAAGGAAUAUUGGUCAAUGGACGGAAGUCUGAACCAGCCAUGCCGCGUGCAGGAAGACGGUCCUCUGGAUUGUAAACUGCUUUUGUUAGGGAAGAAACUUCCGUACGUGUACGGGACUGACGGUACCUAAAGAAUAAGGAUCGGCUAACUCCGUGCCAGCAGCCGCGGUAAUACGGAGGAUCCAAGCGUUAUCCGGAUUUAUUGGGUUUAAAGGGUGCGUAGGCGGCGUUGUAAGUCAGUGGUGAAAGUUUGCAGCUUAACUGUAAAAUUGCCAUUGAUACUGCAGUGCUUGAGUAUAGAUGAGGUGGGCGGAAUGUGUCAUGUAGCGGUGAAAUGCAUAGAUAUGACACAGAACACCGAUUGCGAAGGCAGCUCACUAAACUAUAACUGACGCUGAGGCACGAAAGCGUGGGGAUCAAACAGGAUUAGAUACCCUGGUAGG